rnacentral:rRNA from 1 species
GAUGAACGCUGACAGAAUGCUUAACACAUGCAAGUCAACUUGAAUUUGGGUUUUUAACUUAGAUUUGGGUGGCGGACGGGUGAGUAACGCGUAAAGAACUUGCCUCACAGCUAGGGACAACAUUUAGAAAUGAAUGCUAAUACCUGAUAUUAUGGUUAUAGGGCAUCCUAUAAUUAUGAAAGCUAUAAGCACUGUGAGAGAGCUUUGCGUCCCAUUAGCUAGUUGGAGAGGUAACAGCUCACCAAGGCGAUGAUGGGUAGCCGGCCUGAGAGGGUGAACGGCCACAAGGGGACUGAGACACGGCCCUUACUCCUACGGGAGGCAGCAGUGGGGAAUAUUGGACAAUGGACCGAGAGUCUGAUCCAGCAAUUCUGUGUGCACGAUGAAGUUUUUCGGAAUGUAAAGUGCUUCA